rnacentral:ncRNA from 1 species
AAAAAAUUUGAUUUUAGUUUUUAAAUUUAAUAUAUAUUUUUAUUAUAUGCAAAAUUUAUUUAAUAAUUAUUUAAAUAGUAAUUGUAUUAACUAAAAAGCAAUAAUUAAAUUUAUACAAUAAAAGAAAUUUUGAUAUAGAAAUAAAUAAUAGUAUUGAUAAAAUUUGUGCCAGCAAUCGCGGUUAAACAAGUGAUACAAUUAAAUUUUUUUUAAUAAUAAUUAAUAAGAAGUUUAUUUAUAAAUUUAAAAUUAAAUUUAUUAGGUGAAAUUAUAAAUUUAAAAAAAAUUUAUGUAAAGUUUAUAAAUUUAUGAAAUUUUAAAGUUAAACUAGGAUUAGAUACCCUAUUAUAUAAAAAGUAAAUUAUAAUAUUAAGGUAGUAGUAGUUAUGUUCUUGAAAUUCAAAAAAUUUGGCGGUAUUUUAGUCUAUUCAGAGGAACCUGUUCUAUAAUUGAUAAUCCACGAUUAAUUUUACUUAAUUUACUAAUUUAUAUAUCGUCGUAGGUUGAAUAUCUUACAAGAGAAAAAAUAUUCAUAAUUUAAAAUGAUAAAGGAAAUCAGAUCAAGGUGUAGUUUAUAAUUAAGGAGAAAUGGGUUACAAUAAAUUUAUUUAGAUGGAUAUAAUAAUUAAAAUUUUUAUUGAAAUUGGAUUUGAAAGUAAUAUAUUUAAUUUAAAAUAUAUGAUUUUAGCUCUAAAAUAUGUACAUAUCGCCCGUCGCUUUCAUUGAAACUUAAAGUGAAAUAAGUCGUAACAUAGUGGGUGUACUGGAAAGUGUGUCUAGGCUGUC